rnacentral:rRNA from 1 species
AACGAACGCUGGCGGCAUGCCUAACACAUGCAAGUCGAACGAGACCUUCGGGUCUAGUGGCGCACGGGUGCGUAACGCGUGGGAACCUGCCCUUAGGUUCGGAAUAACUCCCCGAAAGGGGUGCUAAUACCGGAUAAUGUCUUCGGACCAAAGAUUUAUCGCCUUUGGAUGGGCCCGCGUUGGAUUAGCUAGUUGGUAGGGUAAAAGCCUACGAAGGCGACGAUCCAUAGCUGGUCUGAGAGGAUGAUCAGCGACACUGGGACUGAGACACGGCCCAGACUCCUACGGGAGGCGGCAGUGGGGGAUAUUGGACAGUGGGCGGAAGCCUGAUGCAGCAAGGCCGCGUGAGUGAUGAAGGCCUGAGGGUUGUAAAGCGCUUUUACCCGGGAUGAUAAUGACGGUACCGGGAGAGUAAGCUCCGGCUAACUCCGUG